rnacentral:rRNA from 1 species
GGUUCAGAGCGAACGCUAACGGAAUGCUUUAUACAUGCAAGUCGAACGGAUUUUGAUUUUUGUAGCAAUACAAAGAUUACGAUUAGUGGCGAACGGGUGAGUAAUAGUUAGGAACUUGCCGAAUAGUGGGGGACAACAGUUAGAAAUGACUGCUAAUACCGCAUACUCCCGAGAGGGGAAAGAUUUAUUGCUAUUCGAGAGGCCUAACCACGAUUAGCUUGUUGGCGGGGUAAAUGCCCACCAAGGCAGUGAUCGUUAGCCGAUCUUAGAGGAUGAUCGGCCAUAUUGGGACUGAGACACGGCCCAGACUCCUACGGGAGGCAGCAGUAGGGAAUAUUGGACAAUGGACGCAAGUCUGAUCCAGCAAUUCCGCGUGAGUGAUGAAGGUGUUAUGCAUUGUAAAACUCUUUUGCCUGCAAAGAUAAUGACGGUAGCAGGAGAAUAAGCACCGACUAACUAUGUGCCAGCAGCUGC